rnacentral:rRNA from 1 species
UCACUUUCAACAACGGAUCUCUUGGCUCUCGCAUCGAUGAAGAACGUAGCGGAGUGCGAUAAGUAAUGUGAAUUGCAGAAUUCCGUGAGUCAUCGAAUCUUUGAACGCAAAUUGCACUCUCUGGUAUUCCGGGGAGUAUGCCUGUUUGAGGGUCAGU